UAACUUCGAGGAGUUCCUCUGAACAAUUCCUCAACAAUUUGAUAAGUUCCUUAAAAAGUUCCUAACUUCCUGUUUCAUUGACCAAUCAGAUUGCUCAAAAAUAAAAUAUAAAAUUUGAUUGGUCAAUGAAACAGGAAGUUGGGAACUUUUUAAGGAACUUAUCAAAUUGUUGAGGAAUUGUUCAGAGGAACUCCUCGAAGUUA
rnacentral:miRNA from 1 species